rnacentral:rRNA from 1 species
CCUACGGGAGACAGCAGUGGGGAAUAUUGCACAAUGGGGGAAACCCUGAUGCAGCGACGCCGCGUGAGUGAAGAAGUAAUUCGUUAUGUAAAGCUCUAUCAGCAGGGAAGAAAAUGACGGUACCUGAGUAAGAAGCCCCGGCUAACUACGUGCCAGCAGCCGCGGUCAUACGUAGGGGGCAAGCGUUAUCCGGAUUUACUGGGUGUAAAGGGAGCGUAGACGGCAGUGCAAGUCUGGAGUGAAAGGCGGGGGCUCAACCCCCGGACUGCUCUGGAAACUGUACGGCUGGAGUGCAGGAGAGGUAAGUGGAAGUCCUAGUGUAGCGGUGAAAUGCGUAGAUAUUAGGAGGAACACCAGUGGCGAAGGCGGCUUACUGGACUGUAACUGACGUUGAGGCUCGAAAGCGUGGGGAGCAAACAGGAUUAGAUACCCCAGUAGUC